rnacentral:rRNA from 1 species
UGCAAGUCGUGCGAGAAAGCCCUUCGGGGCGAGUACAGCGGCGGACGGGUGAGUAACGCGUAGGAAUCUACCUAGUAGUGGGGGACAACUCGUGGAAACGCGAGCUAACACCGCAUACGCCCUACGGGGGAAAGCGGGGGAUCUUCGGACCUCGUGCUAUUAGAUGAGCCUGCGUAAGAUUAGCUAGUUGGUGGGGUAAUGGCCUACCAAGGCGACGAUCUUUAGCUGGUCUGAGAGGAUGAUCAGCCACACCGGGACUGAGACACGGCCCGGACUCCUACGGGAGGUAGCAGUCGGGAAUAUUGCGCAAUGGGCGAAAGCCUGACGCAGCCAUGCCGCGUGUGUGAAGAAGGCCCUAGGGUUGUAAAGCACUUUCAAUUGGGAGGAAAAGCUAAUGGUUAAUAGCCAUUAGCCCUGACGUUACCUUUAGAAGAAGCACCGGCUAACUCCGUGCCAGCAGCCGCGGUAAUACGGAGGGUGCAAGCGUUAAUCGGAAUUACUGGGCGUAAAGCGCGCGUAGGCGGUUUUUUAAGUCGGAUGUGAAAGCCCCGGGCUCAACCUGGGAAUUGCAUCCGAUACUGGAUGACUAGAAUGCGGGAGAGGGAGGUAGAAUUCCAUGUGUAGCAGUGAAAUGCGUAGAUAUAUGGAGGAAUACCAGUGGCGAAGGCGGCCUCCUGGCUCGACAUUGACGCUGAGGUGCGAAAGCGUGGGGAGCAAACGGGAUUAGAUACCCCGGUAGUCCACGCCGUAAACGAUGUCUACUAGCUGUAGGGGUACUUGA